AAUAAACUAAUUUGAAUAAGUGCUCACACUGUGAGUUAAAAGGGAAACCAGUGAAAAUCUGGUACAGCCCCCGCUACUGUAAAAGCUGAUGAAAUUACAAAACCACUGAGAAAUCGGGAAGGUGUAAGAGUAAAAUGAAGCUUGAGUCAGGAAACCUGCUUAUUUAAACGACACUUA
rnacentral:ncRNA from 2 species